rnacentral:lncRNA from 1 species
GAUGUGUGAGAGUACUGGAACCCGUUGGCACUAAUUGGUCUCUUAUAGGUCUCUAUCACUUUACCUGAACAUUAAGGACCCCAUGCCCCUCUUUUCCUGAGACCAACAGGAGAACAUGCCCAGUGGCACAAAACUCGACAUGCUGCAGAGGGAAAAUCUCUAUAUUUCACCAGACAAUCCCAACAAUCUAAGAAGGACUGGAGAGACAACUUUUUUUUACUGGUGCCCUUGAGUUUGCAACAUGCAUUUACAACAAAUUCACAUCUGCUUUCAAAUAACACCAUACUACUUCACAGGAGGAAGUGAGUGGGGGGCCUGGACUGAGAGGCCUUAUAAGCUAUAAUGUCCUGGGCUGAGCUGCCCAUUGGAUAGUUUGUAACACUCACCUGAAAAGGC